GCAAGUCGAACGGCAGCAUGAUCUAGCUUGCUAGAUUGAUGGCGAGUGGCGAACGGGUGAGUAAUACAUCGGAACGUGCCCUGUAGUGGGGGAUAACUAGUCGAAAGAUUAGCUAAUACCGCAUACGACCUGAGGGUGAAAGUGGGGGACCGCAAGGCCUCAUGCUAUAGGAGCGGCCGAUGUCUGAUUAGCUAGUUGGUGGGGUAAAGGCCCACCAAGGCGACGAUCAGUAGCUGGUCUGAGAGGACGAUCAGCCACACUGGGACUGAGACACGGCCCAGACUCCUACGGGAGGCAGCAGUGGGGAAUUUUGGACAAUGGGCGAAAGCCUGAUCCAGCAAUGCCGCGUGUGUGAAGAAGGCCUACGGGUUGUAAAGCACUUUUGUCCGGAAAGAAAUGGCUCUGGUUAAUACCUGGGGUCGAUGACGGUACCGGAAGAAUAAGGACCGGCUAACUACGUGCCAGCAGCCGCGGUAAUACGUAGGGUCCAAGCGUUAAUCGGAAUUACUGGGCGUAAAGCGUGCGCAGGCGGUUGUGCAAGACCGAUGUGAAAUCCCCGAGCUUAACUUGGGAAUUGCAUUGGUGACUGCACGGCUAGAGUGUGUCAGAGGGGGGUAGAAUUCCACGUGUAGCAGUGAAAUGCGUAGAGAUGUGGAGGAAUACCGAUGGCGAAGGCAGCCCCCUGGGAUAACACUGACGCUCAUGCACGAAAGCGUGGGGAGCAAACAGGAUUAGAUACCCUGGUAGUCCACGCCCUAAACGAUGUCAACUAGUUGUUGGGGGA
rnacentral:rRNA from 1 species